CCUACGGGAGGCAGCAGUGGGGGAUAUUGGACAAUGGGGGAAACCCUGAUCCAGCGACGCCGCGUGAGUGAAGAAGUAUUUCGGUAUGUAAAGCUCUAUCAGCAGGGAAGAAAGAAAUAACGGUACCUGAGUAAGAAGCCGAGGCUAACUACGUGCCAGCAGCCGCGGGAAUACGUAGGGGGCAAGCGUUAUCCGGAAUUACUGGGAGUAAAGGGAGCGUAGACGGUGUUGCAAGUCUGAAGUGAAAGGCGGGGGCUCAACCCCCGGACUGCUCUGGAAACUGUGGAACUUGAGUGUUGGAGAGGUGAGCAGAAUUCCUGGUGUAGCGGUGAAAUGCGUAGAGAUUAGGAGGAACACCAGUGGCGAAGGCGGCUGACUGGACUGUAACUGACGUUGAGGCGCGAAAGCGUGGGGAGCAAACAGGAUUAGAUACCCGAGUAGUC
rnacentral:rRNA from 1 species